rnacentral:rRNA from 1 species
GAUGAACGCUAGCUACAGGCUUAACACAUGCAAGUCGAGGGGCAGCGCAGUGUAGCAAUACAUGGGCGGCGACCGGCGCACGGGUGCGUAACGCGUAUCCAACCUUCCCGUUACUCUUGGAUAGCCUUCCGAAAGGGAGAUUAAUACAAGAUGGUAUUCAAAUUCCGCAUGUUAUUUGAAUUAAAGAUUUAUCGGUAACGGAUGGGGAUGCGUGACAUUAGAUAGUAGGCGGGGUAACGGCCCACCUAGUCUACGAUGUCUAGGGGUUCUGAGAGAAAGGUCCCCCACACUGGAACUGAGACACGGUCCAGACUCCUACGGGAGGCAGCAGUGAGGAAUAUUGGUCAAUGGUCGGAAGACUGAACCAGCCAAGUAGCGUGAAGGAUGAAGGUUCUAUGGAUUGUAAACUUCUUUUAUACGGGAAUAAAACACCUUACGUGUAGGGUCUUGUAUGUACCGUAUGAAUAAGCAUCGGCUAACUCCGUGCCAGCAGCCCGGUAAUAC